UGCCAGCAGCCGCGGUAAUACGAAGGGCCCGAGCGUUAAUCAGAAUCACUGGGCUUAAAGCGUGUGUAGGCGGACAUAAAGGCGCCUUGUGAAAUCCCUCGGCUCAACCGAGGAACUGCAGGGCGAACCAUGUGUCUUGAGACAGGUAGGGGUCGUCGGAACGGUAGGUGGAGUGGUGAAAUGCGUUGAUAUCUACCGGAACGCCGAAGGAGAAGUCAGGCGACUGGGCCUGUUCUGACGCUGAGACACGAAAGCGUGGGGAGCGAACGGGAUUAGAUA
rnacentral:rRNA from 1 species